rnacentral:lncRNA from 1 species
AAACUGUUCUAUAUCAUAUACAAAAUAUCUAAGCGACAUAUUGCGAAACAAAUGUUUAUCCCAAGAACAAAAUUAGGCGGAAGAAAAAAAAAAAAAAAAUAAUCAGAAGAAAAACAAUAGGUCUUUCCACAGAAAAGUGGAAAGACCUAAUAAUCAGAAGAAAAACAAUAGGUCUUUCCACAGAAAAGUGGAAAGACCUAAUAAUCAGAAG